rnacentral:tRNA from 1 species
GGAGAGGUGGCCGAGCGGCCGAAGGCGCACGAUUGGAAAUCGUGUACACCUUAACGGGUGUCGAGAGUUCAAAUCUCUCCCUCUCCGCCA